rnacentral:rRNA from 1 species
UACAGAGGGUGCGAGCGUUACUCGGAAUUACUGGGCGUAAAGCGUGCGUAGACGGCUAUCUAAGUCGGGUGUGAAAGCCCCGGGCUCAACCUGGGAAUUGCAUUCGAGACUGAAUAGCUAGGGUACGGUAGAGGGAAGUGGAAUUUCCGGUGUAGCGGUGAAAUGCGUAGAUAUCAGGAAGAACACCUAUGGCGAAGGCAGCUCUCUGGGACGGUACUGACGCUGAGACGCGAAAGCGUGGGGAGCGAACAGG